rnacentral:ncRNA from 2 species
CCGCCUGAGGAGCGCUGCAACGGGCAAAGUCCCGCGAGGCUCGGCAGGGGGAAAUCGCAAUAACGGCGCUCGUUCAUU